CCCUUAGAUGUUCUGGGCCGCACGCGCGCUACACUGAUGCAUUCAACAAGUUCUACCUUGGCCGAGAGGCCUGGGAAAUCUUUCAAAUAUGUAUCGUGAUAGGGAUAGAUUAUUGCAAUUAUUAAUCUUGAACGAGGAAUUCCUAGUAAAUGCAGAUCAUCAUUCUGCGUUGAUUACGUCCCUGCCCUUUGUACACACCGCCCGUCGCACCUACCGAUUGAAUGGCUUAGUGAGGCCUCCGGAUUGGCUUUGGGGAGCCGGCAACGGCACCUCAUGGCUGAGAAGUUGGUCAAACUUGGUCAUUUAGAGGAAGUAAAAGUCGUAACA
rnacentral:rRNA from 1 species